rnacentral:sRNA from 1 species
UACAUGCUUCUGAAAUACCCAUGUAUUC